rnacentral:sRNA from 1 species
UCCGCACUCACACUCACUCACGCGUGGCAGGAGCGGGGGAACCAGGUAAGUACGCCGGUCUCCGGAUGUCCCAUUGUCCGGACCGGCUUGGGGUUAAGUCGCGCACCGGCGCGGCCGGGCAUCUCCAGCCCGAACCCGACAGCUCACCUCGUAGGCGCCGGAGAGGAAUGUU